GACGAACGCUGGCGGCGUGCUUAACACAUGCAAGUCGAACGGAAAGGCCCUGCUUUUGUGGGGUGCUCGAGUGGCGAACGGGUGAGUAACACGUGAGUAACCUGCCCUUGACUUUGGGAUAACUUCAGGAAACUGGGGCUAAUACCGGAUAGGAGCUCCUGCUGCAUGGUGGGGGUUGGAAAGUUUCGGCGGUUGGGGAUGGACUCGCGGCUUAUCAGCUUGUUGGUGGGGUAGUGGCUUACCAAGGCUUUGACGGGUAGCCGGCCUGGGAGGGUGACCGGCCACAUUGGGACUGAGAUACGGCCCAGACUCCUACGGGAGGCAGCGGUCGGGAAUUUUGCACAAUGGGCGGAAGCCUGAUGCAGCAACGCCGCGUGCGGGAUGACGGCCUUCGGGUUGUAAACCGCUUUCGCCUGUGACGAAGCGUGAGUGACGGUAAUGGGUAAAGAAGCACCGGCUAACUACGUG
rnacentral:rRNA from 1 species